GACGAACGCUGGCGGCGUGCCUAAUACAUGCAAGUCGAACGCACUCUCGUUUAGAUUGAAGGAGUUUGCUCCUGAUUGAUAAACAUUUGAGUGAGUGGCGGACGGGUGAGUAACACGUGGGUAACCUGCCCUAAAGUGGGGGAUAACAUUUGGAAACAGAUGCUAAUACCGCAUAAAACCUAACACCGCAUGGUGUAGGGUUGAAAGAUGGUUUCGGCUAUCACUUUAGGAUGGACCCGCGGUGCAUUAGUUAGUUGGUGAGGUAAAGGCUCACCAAGACCGUGAUGCAUAGCCGACCUGAGAGGGUAAUCGGCCACACUGGGACUGAGACACGGCCCAGACUCCUACGGGAGGCAGCAGUAGGGAAUCUUCCGACAAUGGACGAAAGUCUGAUGGAGCAACGCCGCGUGAGUGAAGAAGUUUCGGAUCGUAAAACUCUGUUGUUGGAGAAGAAUGUAUCUGAUAGUAACUGAUCAGGUAGUGACGGUAUCCAACCAGAAA
rnacentral:rRNA from 1 species